CCCUGCCUGGAGUGCUAUUCAGCGGGGAGACUGGGAGGCCGCCAGAUGGCUGCCCGGCCUUGUCCUGGACGGAAUGCAGCGUUCUCUUUGAUAUAGACUGUCACUGAACAACGAGAUGCUGUUUCUUUUCUCUUGCUGUGUCUUUCGUUCCCAGAUUAUUGCUUCUUCUGUGGUGCUCUCUUUUUGGACCAUGCCCCAGGGCCCAUUUGGAUGUAGUUAUCAACCACUGGUUUAGUGAGGCCACUGUUCUCUUCUCCAUCCCGCAACACGCUUCCCAUGAGAGCCAGAGCUGUGCUCACUGAGCUUAGAAGGGGCGGAAACUGACUGCACGGGUUUUCAGGGACCCAGGAAGGAAAGCCAUGCCAGCCAAUGAAAUGUAAGCAGUGGGAGGAGCUUCCUCCUUAAACUCUGGUUUGGGUGAGUUGGCCAAACCAGACAACACACUCCAGCCUCUGGACCAUCGGUUUGGGUUCAGGAGCAAUAACCCUUCUGAGUGGAAUUGACACCCACAAGAUGAUCUUAUAGUGCCUCCAAAAUGGCAAAAUGGAUGGUUCUCCUUCCUUUUGCUUUCAAGUGGCUACUGCAGUGCUGUUGCUGUUUCCAGCAGGCGCAGCUCUCCGAAAUCCUUCUUACCAUUUAUUGCUAUUAUCCAUCAAUAUAG